rnacentral:rRNA from 1 species
AUUGAACGCUGGCGGCAGGCCUAACACAUGCAAGUCGAACGAGUGGCGGACGGGUGAGUAAUGUCUGGGAAACUGCCUGAUGGAGGGGGAGAACUACUGGAAACGGUAGCUAAUACCGCAUACCAUCGGAUGUGCCCAGAUGGGAUUAGCUAGUAGGUGGGGUAAAGGCUCACCUAGGCGACGAUCCCUAGCUGGUCUGAGAGGAUGACCAGCACCACUGGAACUGAGACACGGUCCAGACUCCUACGGGAGGCAGCAGUGGGGAAUAUUGCACAAUGGGCGCAAGCCUGAUGCAGCCAUGCCGCGUGUAUGAAGAAGGCCUUCGGGUCGGAAAGUACUUUCAGCGGGGAGGCGUUAACAGCAGAAGAAGCACCGGCUAACUUCGUGCAAGCAGCCGCGGUAAUAC